ACACAUAACUACCACUCAAGGUAACGUAUAGUGCGAAGACUCACCGAGGGUAAUUCUUGAAAAGUCUCGAACUCGAAAUACCGAUCUAGCCGCCGCCUAAUCACAUAAAUAAAUAACUCUAAAUCAGCAGUGGCUCUCAAAGGCUAGACAAGUCUCAUACUAUGCUUCCCAAAAGGGUAAAAGACCAUUCUACCCCUCCCCUGGCCCAAUAGUGCACUGGUUGACUAAACCCUAAAAGUCAACGGAAGUCAACAGUCCAACUUUGACUAGACUCGUCGAGUCAGGAAACGAAUCGACGAGUCUAAACACGUAAUCAGAUUCCUCACAAGGUCUCACUCGACUCACUGAGUCACCCACCCAACUUGUCGGGUCUCAACUGAUCACGAAACUCGGGUAAACGCGAUCCAACUCGUUGAGUCCUCCUAUGGAUUCGACGAGUCUCCUCCAUGACCAAACUCAUAUGACCUUCUGAGGUCAGAUCUGCUUCACCAACUUGUAGAUCUAUCCUUCUAGCACCCACAAAUCACGUAAAGGUCCAAACUUUACGUCCAUGCAUCAUGAUUAGAGCCAUAAAUGAAGAAAUAGCCAUCUAAAUGGAAACCUAGGCUCAAACUCUCUAUGUGACUGCAUAAAGAUGAACAUAAGGGACUCUUUGGACCUCCCAUGGUCCAAAUCUAAGGCUUAUUCCACAUUGGGACCUCAAACAUUCCAUAAACCUCUAAAGAGAAUGGUUAAGAAACCCUAGAUUCAUGAAAUCAACAUCAAACAGGAGAAAUGGUCCGAUUUGUUACCUCAAAGUGAAGCUCCAGGCUUCAUAACCUCAGUACAUCAACCCCCUCUGGUCCCUCUUGCUAGAAUCUCAUCUUCUCUUUAGAAAUGACACACCAAAAUGCUUAAGAUGGCUCUUCUUUACUCUCUAAGCUCUCAAGGAUGAUUUAGGGUUUCUCCAGGGUAAGGAUAGCCGCAAUUGAAGACCCUAAGGCUCUUUAAAUAGGUCCCAAACCCGGACAAUUAGGGUUUUCCUCCACAACGCUGACUCGGCGAGUCCAAUGCUCGACUCGUCGAGUCCAUUCAUUUAAACGCGUCACCUGAUCGCGGCCCUACUCGACGAGUUAAUCCACCAACUCGCCGAGUCCCUUCGGUUGAAUCAAAAUAUAUAAAUAAUAUAAUACAUUCCCAAGAAUCUGGACGUUACAAUUCUCCCCCACUUGAAUUAGAUUUCGUCCUCGAAAUUGCUCCUCGACCCCACAUAAUUAGAAUACAAUAACCCGUAAGAUACCACCGUAGCAUCUUGUUCUACACCAAUAUUACUAAAGAGGACACCUCCCGUUCGAAUUAUUCUCAUGCCACCUUCUACCAGAAUCAUCAACUCUGACAACUCACUGUUCCUCUGAUUCUUCUUAACGAAAACCAUCGAUCGACUAUCGGUCAUCCAUACCACUCGCAUCACGUGCUCCUCAUCCUGCUUAAAGGAGCGAAACGAUCACGCUACACAGGGAACCCAUCCCCUGCACUAUCAUUGAAAUCUCGUCUGAACAAAGACUCUCAAAACCUUGCCUUCGAACUUAGGGAAAUGUUUAUGUUUAAUCAGAAUCAUCAACUGACAUAUAGCAAUCUCAAGCCUCAACUUCCUGCCAGAUCUCCCUUUCCAACCCUGAGCACCAGGUUACCCAAAACUUUCACUAUUGAACCUCCCAAGAAGAUCCACGCAUGACCCACCACUUCCUUCUCUCAAAAAGUGUUUCAACCCAUGGUGACAUACAAGUCACCAAUUCUCGCUAUCCCCAGCGAACACUAAAUUCCACACUCGAAUAUCAGCUCACUCCUGACACUUGACAUCUAAGGCUCAAGAAUUUCAUGCAACUCACUGCACUAUCCCAUCCAAACACUGAACCUCUGAUCUCAAUUCCAGAUGACAACUAACUUUUCAGAAAAGUACUCAUUCCCUGAAUUUGAAACCUCACAUCGCCUUCUCGACGCACUACUAAAAUCAAACUCAUCUCAAGAGUUUGAUCAAUCCCCGGGUUGUACCACUCGCCCCAAGAACCACUCAUUUCGAGACUGAUGACUCGCAACCCACACUUAACUCACUCAUCUACAACAGCCAUGAUUCCAUCCAAUAUAACCACUCCAGAAAAAUGAGAUAACCACAAUGUCAUCCCUGAUUUAACCAUCAAGCUCCCAUACCUCAUAUAUUUGGGAUACCGAAGCCAAACAACCUUUCCGCGUCAUGCUCAGAUCAUAGAAUAGUUUAACCCAACAUUCUCUUACUGACUAGAGAGUACUACCACCCUCGCAGUAUCUAAACCCUUCCUUGAUUAGUGCAUGCUACGGCUCCCCGUGGCAUCACUACAAUCUCUCUCUGAUCCGUGAGUACUACGACUCCCCGUAGCAUCACUACAACCUAUCUCCGAUCCGUGAGUACUACAGCUCCCCGUAGCAUCACCCUAACCUCUCUGAUCCGUGAAUACUACAGCUCCCCGUAGCAUCACUACAACCUAUCUCCGAUCCGUGAGUACUACAGCUCCCCGUAACAUCACCCCAACCUCUCUGAUCCGUGAAUACUACGGCUCCCCGUAGCAUCACUACAACCUCUGCUCUAAACCACUGAACUGCGGCUCCCCGUAGUCUUACCACACCAGUCCUUACCUCUUCAUAAUCUCACUUUCACGUAGACGCCACACCGCGAUCAUGAACUUAUGCCCUGCGGACCGGCCAUGCGUAGGUGUACACACCUACUCAAGCUAUGCACUGCUAUUUCUGACAGCAUCCGAACACACCUUUCCCUGCUGCAAACCACCUUUCCGAAUAAUCUCACUUGAUGUCAUUUGACCAUAGGCUUCUCACCGGAACCGUACUCACUUGAUACCCACUAUCUGCCUCCGACUCACAAUUCCAAAAUAAUCCGAACUUAAUGACAGCGUAUUCUGAUACUUUAGGACACCAUCACAACAUCCCACGAUGCCUUAUCUCAAUCACUGAUCUUACACUCACAGCAUCAUACACGGAUACUGCCUCCCUUCAUCAGAAUCUCGAAAUCGAUCUUCAUCUUGCAACACUUGCAACCUCGAAGUAUUCCCUUUCCAAAUUAAACGCAUGACAUCGCCAUUAAACCAAAACUCGACUACAAGGACCCAGAAAUUCACCCAUUGCCGAUCGCUACUCAUACCAUCUUAGUCAUACCGUCUCAAAAAUUAACUAAUAGACCAAUUGUUGCUUUUCCUGGUGAGGAGAUCACAUUCUGAACAUGUACCUGUCAACCUUUGCUGCUACUCUCUGAACUCAAGGACUUAACUGUCUCGUCUUGUUUUACACACUGAAAUUCUGACCCGAAAAACCUCUUUGACCAACGGCCACCUGCCAUAGAAUCACUCAUUGCUUCCUGAUCAUGCACGACAGGCAUCAUCUCACUUGCACCUCGCCCUAUCCACCAAUUUAGCCCUGAACCCAUGAAUCUGCCACAUAAUCGCUAUAACCAGUCCUCUAACUGCCUCUACACAAUUCUCAAAUCCCUUCAGCAAUUACCUGGUUCUCCCCCACUUAGCGUUCGAACCAUCGCCAAUUGGCGCACUUUCAAUCCAUCCACAGACUGCUUCCAUUAAUAACAUCGCAUCUAUUCUCUAAUUGAGCUACGCAACGCUUGAUGAUCUCCCCGAUUAGAAACCUAGCAAUACCAAAUAAUCCGAAUCACAGACGAAUCCCUCAUAACUUCUCCUCAUGACUUCCUUUAAUCAUUCAGGACCUCAUACUGCCCCAUAACUGGACAUCCCAAUUGCCCCCGAUUCACCCAAGACUCUCCGUUUCCACCAUUGGCUCUAUGGUACAAGAAAUACUUCACCACGGACAAACCGCUCAAACACCCUGAAAAGAUCACCACCAGUACUACUCCACGACCUCCAAUUUCUGGAACCAAAAACUCGAUAGCUCAUUCCCCUUCUCAAGAAUGGAAACCACGUAACUCUCGCCAUAGAAGGUGAUGGCUCAUCCGUCAGCCGAUGGCUUGACUCGAACCCCGAUUCUUCAACAACAUCAUCCCACUUAUCCUUAAGCCGUGUAGUUUCCACUGGCACCUUACAAAUAAAACCUCUUAAAAUGAAUCCCAUUUCUCUUUCAAGCAUACUCCCUCGAACUCAUUCAAAUUGGCCCUUAAGCCGCAUACUCUCUCAUACUUGAUCUCGGUAUAAUCAACAUAAUGGCAUAACUGGUAGGACCAGUAACACUAAUCAUCACAGCCAUGGUACUCGAACCAUGUUGCUAUCUCUCUGCCUGCUAUAAAUCAUGGUACUUGAGCCAUGACAUCACUUCCCAACCUGCUUCCAAGCAUGGUACUCAAACCAUACAAUCCCCUCUCAUCUACCACUGAUCAUGGUACUCAAACCAUAUGAUCCCUAUCAUCUGCUACUGAUCAUGGUACUCAAACCAUACGAUCCCUCUCAUUUGCUACUUAGAAUCCCAUGAACUUUCCAUGUAUCGAGUAUGGGUCCUCUGCUUUCAGUAGUAUGGGACCAUACUACCUGCCACAUCUACCCAUACUUUCCACAUAAAUCAUUCCAGAUCUCCUAAGUAGCUGCUCAACCUCCUCACUUACAAUUUCCGCCCUGCUGGCCGCUCUUCCUACGAAUACUCUCCAUUAUUUGCCUACUCAUCUAACAAAGAUCACUUCCCAGGCUCUUCCUAGAUUCCCACACCUUCCUGCCAUCAGCUGCUGAAGAACUCCCAGUGAUGCCAUCCGUCUACCUCCUGAAUGUCGUCAUAUUCACUUAGUAGCCAACUCCCAUCACAGAGAAUUCCACAAAGCACGAAUCAAGCAACAUUCGGGCAUCGAAUAGUCCCUUAUCAACACGUAUCACCACUCUAGGUUACAACUCUGCUUGCUACACUCGUAAUCAAAGACGUCACCGAGCUCAAGCAACUCCACCCCUCGCGGGUAUCUGACUACCUUCUCAGAAGGCUCCUGAAAUGCUCAUCUAGGUAUCUCUCCUAGAUUACCCCUCUGCUCAAAUCCUUCUCUAAAUAGGAUUCUUGCUGGAUACUCAUAAUCCGCACAUAAACAAAAGCAAUUCAUAGAUAACAGUAACUCCUAGGCUAAGGCAUCAUAAAUCAAGCCACACUAGCGCUAAAACAUGAAAUACCUAGCCUACUCUCUAGCAUAUAUAACAUUUCACAUAUUACUCAUAACACACAAUGUAAGGGUAUUUUUGGGAAAUCACCGUUCGGGCGUUGGCUGAUUGUACACACUGCUCGUUGUCUCUUUCUCUUAUAAAUUCUCUUACUCAUUUUUUUUGAAAACCCAUUUCUUUUGAAAACCUUUUUCUCAAUCCUCAGUUUGAGUCUGGACAUACCCGAAGGUGUAUUCGAAUCCCUUAAACCAAGGCUCUGAUACCAACUUGUAACACCAGAAAAUUUUAAAUUUAUUUUAUUCAUUUUUAUUUCAUAAAAGUGCACAUUAUCCUAUAUGAACACUUUUUAUUUAAAAAACAUUAACAAGGUUUUCAUAACAUUAUGAAAUUCCAGGAUCUGUAUUCAUCACUCUUUUCUCUUGUGUGUGUACAAUCGAGCCGCCGCCUUCCAGUGAUUCUGAAGAACAACACAUACGCCACUCAAGGCUACAAUAUGACCCUCUGGUCGGUGUGUCUCAGCGGAACCCUCCAGUUCCAUAUUGUUGGACCCUACGGUCUGGUCUGUAUCGUUGGACCCUUCGGUCCGGUCUAUAAACCCCGCAUAGCAUAAAUCACAAAGACAUGAUGCAUAGCAUAUCACAUAUAACAUAAUACUCAAUGUAAGCACAUAAGACCCUCCGAUCACACAUAACUACCACUCAAGGUAACGUAUAGUGAGAAGACUCACCUCGGGUAAUUCUCGAAAAGACUCAAACUCGAAAUACCGAUCUAGCCGUCGCCUAAUCACAUAAAUAAAUAACUCUAAAUCAGCAGUGGCUCUCAAAGGCUAGACAAGUCUCGUACUAUGCUUCCCAGAAGAGUAAAAGACCAUUCUACCCCUCCCCUUGCCCAAUAGUCCACUAGUUGACUAAACCCUAAAAGUCAACGGAAGUCAACGGUCCAUCUUUGACAAGACUCGUCGAGUUAGGAAAUGACUCAGCGAGUCCACACGCAUAAUCAGAUUCCUCACAAGGUCUCACUCGACUCACUAAGUCACCCACCCAACUCGCCGGGUCUCAACUGAUCACGAAACUCGGGUAAACUCGAUCCGACUCGUCGAGUCCUCCUAUGGACUCGACAAGUCUCCUCCAUGACCAAACUCAUCUGACCUUUUCAGGUCAGAUCUGCUUCACCAACUUGUAGAUCUAUCCUUCUAGCACCCACAAAUCACGUAAAGGUCCAAACUUUACGUCCAUGCAUCAUGAUUAGAGCCAUAAAUGAAGAAAUAGCCAUCUAAAUGGAAACCUAGGCUCAAACUCUCUAUGUGACUGCAUAAAGAUGAACAUAAGGGACUCUCUGGACCUCCCAUGGUCCAGAUCUAAGGUUUAUUCCACAUUGGGACCUCAAACAUUCCAUAAACCUCUAAAGAGAAUGGUUAAGAAACCCUAGAUUCUUGAAAUCAACAUCAAACAGGAGAAAUGGUCCGAUUUGUUACCUCAAAGUGAAGCUCCAGGCUUCAUAACCUCAGUACAUCAACCCCCUCUGGUCCCUCUUUCUAGAAUCUCAUCUUCUCUUUAGAAAUGACACACCAAAAUGCUCAAGAUGGCUCUUCUUUACUCUCUAAGCUCUCAAGGAUGAUUUAGGGUUUCUCCAGGGUAAGGAUAGCCGCUAUUGAAGACCCUAAGGCUCUUUAAAUAGGUC
rnacentral:lncRNA from 1 species